AUACGGAGGGUGCAAGCGUUAUUCGGAAUCACUGGGCGUAAAGGACGCGUAGGCGGGUUGGCAAGUCAGAUGUGAAAUCCUACAGCUUAACUGUAGAACUGCAUUUGAAACUGCUAACCUAGAGUAUGGGAGGGGGAGAUGGAAUUAGUGGUGUAGGGGUAAAAUCCGUAGAUAUCACUAGGAAUACCGAAAGCGAAGGCGAUCUCCUGGAACAUAACUGACGCUAAGGCGUGAAAGCGUGGGGAGCAAACAGGAUUAGAUACCCGUGUAGUCC
rnacentral:rRNA from 1 species